UAGGGAAUGGCCAUAUCUAUCAGAGCACCAAAUUGAGACCCGAUUGGAUCAUUAUUAUAGCCAGAAUGAAGAAAUUAAUUUGGAGUGGCUAAGCCCACCCUUUCCCGCAGCUUUUGUUGUUCUUUUUACAUUCUCUCAUUGACACUCUGCUUCUGCUUCACUCGGCCUCUGCCUCUGCCCUCCCCUUGCCAAUGCCUUGAUCAGCAUCAAUAGCCGAGUCGAUAGAGCCAUGUCUGUCUGUCCAUCUGUCCGUCCUGAUGAGCGCCUAGUACUCAGAGACCAUAAAAGCUAG
rnacentral:lncRNA from 1 species